GAUGAACGCUGGCGGCGUGCCUAAUACAUGCAAGUCGAGCGAACAGACGAGGAGCUUGCUCCUCUGACGUUAGCGGCGGACGGGUGAGUAACACGUGGAUAACCUACCUAUAAGACUGGGAUAACUUCGGGAAACCGGAGCUAAUACCGGAUAAUAUAUUGAACCGCAUGGUUCAAUAGUGAAAGACGGUUUUGCUGUCACUUAUAGAUGGAUCCGCGCCGCAUUAGCUAGUUGGUACGGUAACGGCUUACCAAGGCGACGAUGCGUAGCCGACCUGAGAGGGUGAUCGGCCACACUGGAGCUGAGACACGGUCCAGACUCCUACGGGAGGCAGCAGUAGGGAAUCUUCCGCAAUGGGCGAAAGCCUGACGGAGCAACGCCGCGUGAGUGAUGAAGGUCUUCGGAUCGUAAAACUCUGUUAUUAGGGAAGAACAAAUGUGUAAGUAACUAUGCACGUCUUGACGGUACCUAAUCAGAAAGCCACGGCUAACUACGUG
rnacentral:rRNA from 1 species